UACAGAGGUGCCCAAGCGUUGUUCGGAUUCACUGGGCGUAAAGGGGUGCGUAGGUGGUUGGGUAAGUUUGAUGUGAAAGCUCUGGGCUCAACCCAGAAAUGGCAUUGAAUACUAUCCGACUUGAGGAGUGGAGGGGGGACUGGAAUACUUGGUGUAGCAGUGAAAUGCGUAGAUAUCAAGUGGAACACCAGUGGCGAAGGCGAGUCCCUGGACACUUCCUGACACUGAGGCACGAAAGCUAGGGGAGCAAACAGG
rnacentral:rRNA from 1 species